rnacentral:lncRNA from 1 species
UCCACACUACGCUCGUGCUGCACUGGCGGUCCCUUCAGGUCCGAGCCCAAGUAGGCGCCGUCGGUCGCGGCGGCCAGGCCGCGCCUCCCCUUCCACAGGUCCCGAGAUCCGCCGACAUCAACCCCGUCGUCCAGCAUCGGGUGCCUAAGAUCGGCACACCUCCUCCCAAUGUGAGUUUCACUUUGAAUUAUUAUUUUUAGCUGGCUGUAGGAUGAAGUGUGUUUGCCAGAAUACAACUCUACUUUGUUCGUGCUGUGACAGUGUUAAGCGAUUUUUGUAUUCAGUAAAAUAGCAUUUUGUUUCAACAAGAGAUGGAUAAAUAGGCCAAUAUAUACUCGCAGGCAGUACAGUUCUGGGAAUACUACUGCUAAUGAAUGUUUAAUCUCUUCUCCACAAACUUGGUUCGUAGAUCUUUUUUCUUUUUUCAGAAUCUUCACAAUUCUGUUUGUCUGAUGUAUACUUGCAGGUAAUGAAAAGGUUCUUUCAAUAUUAGGCUGAUGCUUCAAAUAAGCAUGUCUCUUUUCUAAUCUAUAGUGGAUAUCGUCUAACACUACUUUCCUACUAACAAAUAUUUUCAUAUGGCUGAAAGAAUCAACUGCUUGAGAUUUCAGAAACUGUUCAACUACGUAAUUUUUGGUUACAUCUUUUUCGAUCAGUUUUGGACUUUUAACUCCCUAUUGUAUGCAUGUAUAUUAAUUUCCAGUGCACAAAAUUCAAGGGUUUAACUCUUUUUCUUUGCACUUGCUAGCGUCCCGGACCAGCGCCAUGGCAACGAGCGUAUCCCCCUACCCUGACCUUCAACUUCAAUGGCAGAUCCCACCAUGACUUGGCAGCACCGUUGGUGGAACCAGCGUCCCUAGGUGAGCAAUCAUCCAGAUGGCCGUCACGCUUCCGCCCAGCAGGUACUACUCCCUUCGUCUCAUCUUCUCAUCAGCUAAUUCACAACAUGUAGUUUGUCUGCCUCUUGAUUUCCUGGAUCCAAGAACCCUGCCUUCAUCCCAAAUAAAGAUUGAUAUUCUUUUGGAUCUGGAUCAAGAUGGGUUAUAUUGAUCCCCAUCCCUCCAGUGAAUAUUUCUGUAAGAGAAUUUUAAUUGGGAAGAUUCGUUCUAGGUAGAGGAGUAGAGGCGUUGUUUCCACGGGGCGGUAGUGAGGUGUUGUUGAUUAGAGCACCAUCAGCAGUUCUUGAGCACCAUGGCAAUGCAAAGGUAAUCCGUGUGCCCUGCAUCUUCAAAAGAAUUAUCCGAUGCAGUAUCCCAAAAAGUAGCAUUAUGUAAAGAUCUGAUUCAUCUCAAUAUAACAUGAAAACAUGGAAGAUGAUGGAUUAGACAUGAAAAUCCUAUGAGCAGAGAUAGCACAGUAAUUAACAUUCUGCAUUAGAUUACUUAGUUGAGAGAUAGAACCUGAAGAAAAGUGAAUUAAGCUAGAUACAUAAAAAUUAGGCACUCCCUGUAACUCCAAUACCAAAUAGGUAGUCAGACAUCUCGGCAUUCGACUGUUGGAGAUGAUGAGCUUGAGAAGUGAGAUGGUUCUGUUGAAGUAACGGUGCGUCUGAGCGGUCUGGCCAUUGACCGUUGCAUCCAUAUGUGGGUUGGCUGCUCCUGUACCUCUUCCGCUGUAGCGGCUAAUCGAAAAUUGAAGAUCCUUCUCAAAUUUGAGCUCCAUUUCUUUAAGGUUCCCUAUUUUUUGCACGCUGAUAAUGAGUUUUUUUUUUGGACUGUAUAAUUGAUCUUGAUAUGGUUUAUAGCUUCCUGUUACCACUCUUACCAUCGUCCAAUCAAGUUCAUCCAUGUCAAAAUCUAUCGACUUGGAAUAGAGUAGUGUCGAAGAGAAGGUUUGAUUGUACUAUUUAAUUGCUCAUCAAUUUCAUUGUCUACUUUCUUCAGUUCGAUAACUUCAACCUAAAAAUAAACUGGUGGUCAAUACGAAAUAACACAUCAAUUUUCUUCUGAGGGAUGCCUCACUUUUUAUUUUUCUCAGUAGAUUAGAGUAAUAAGUUGAUGAUCAUUCUCUACUUUGUAUUUGUAUUUUUUUAUGAGAUUGAUCCAAGAAAGAAUGACAUAUGUGCAAUAUGUAUGGGUAAAUAAUAAGUGAAAAAAUGGUUUCGAACUAGGAAACCUAAAACUGUAGGUUUGUAUAGCAAGAUUAUCAUAUUUUAUAAUGUAUUUUGUUUAGCGAAUAUAUAUUCCAAAAUUUCCCAUGUACUGUUUCUGCAGAGAGGGGGAAGGAGCUGAUUGCAGGGCACUAAAAUAUAUCUGGGCUGCCAAAGCUCCAUGAUCGCUUACAUAUGUAUAUUAUCCAUGUAGUCUGGGUUAUCUGGGAUCAAUUACAAGAAGGCACUUGAAUAUUGUUUAUAAAGGUUGCAUAUUUUGUCAAUUUUGUAUACUUCAAUAUCAAUGUGUUGAUUUAUUCAUGCUAUUUUGAUGAGGAUGUCAUCAAUGCCGGUUCAUGGCUAUGCAAGGCAUCAAUGCUUAAUGAUUGGUCAUACGGUGAUGUGUUACUCGGUGGGGCCUUAAUUUGGAGUAGAAGUAGAUACAAUAAGCUCUGAAAACUAGAUUGUUUUUUGCUCAUAACACGAAGGAAAUGGG